rnacentral:rRNA from 1 species
ACUACGGGCGGCAGCAGUGGGGGAUAUUGCACAAUGGGGGGAACCCUGAUGCAGCGACGCCGCGUGGGUGAAGGAGUGCUUCGGCAUGUAAAGCCCUAUCGGCAGGGAAGAAGCAAGACGGUACCUGACUAAGAAGCCCCGGCUAACUACGUGCCAGCAGCCGCGGUAAUAGGUAGGAGGCGAGCGUUAUCCGGAUUCACUGGGUGUAAAGGGAGCGUAGACGGCCAUGCAAGCCAGGGGUGAAAGCCCGGGGCCCAACCCCGGGACUGCCCUUGGAACUGCAUGGGUGGAGUGCGGGAGGGGUAGGCGGAAUUCCUGGUGUAGCGGUGAAAUGCGUAGAUAUCAGGAGGAACACCGGCGGCGAAGGCGGCCUGCUGGACUGCGACUGACGUUGAGGCUCGAAAGCGUGGGGAGCGAACAGGAUUAGAUACCCGGGUAGUC